AAAAGUGGAGAGAGUUUGCAGGAGUCAAUGAGGUGAUGGAAUUGGACAACCCAAGCUUGCUGAGUUGUGUUCAGGACCCAGCUCUGUUGGUGACAAUUCCAAUGGUUGUUGAUGCUUCUUGUUUCUAGGAGUGUUCAGUGAAGAAGGCACAGGAGUAGAGAAUCUGGUGAUUAGUAUGUAGGUGGGAGAAAAAGACAACGGGUUCAACAGGGCAUGGCAUGAGAAUGGUGGUGUUGGCUCAUGACAUCCAGGCUGAGUUGAAAAAGAAGAAAGGCCUGGUAGACAAAAGGGUAAAAGAGAGAGUCCAAAGGACUGGAGUUUCAAGAGGUUAGAGGUUUAACAUCUGAGUGUAAGGGGAUGAGGGAGCCAGAGACAAGAAGCUGGGUUUACAGAGUGAGAUUCUGGAGGGCAAAAUUUCAGGGGUAAAGCAGAUCUCAUCAGGAAAGGGCCAGAGGCCUGGUAAACAGAGUGGGCUGGUUGGAUGGGUUACUGGAGGUGAGGACAAUGUAGAACAGUGGGGCCAGAGACUUGGAUGGAGCAACUACAUGGAUGGGGCAAGCACAUGGAUGGAAUGAUAGCAGGUCUUGGGAUGGUGAGCAAGACUCUGAGACUAAGACUUCACUGAAUCUGUGAGUGAUUAGGAGCUGUCUUCUCCCAACCCCAAACUCCAUUAGCCCAGCAUGAAUGAACCAUCCUGUCAUUAAAAAGGUGGGACGGGGAAGGGAAUCUUGUUCUCGAGUGUUUGCAGAACUUCUCUAGAGAGGUCUUUACCUUCCUGUAUUUGCUUCUAUCUCUGCCAGCUCCGUAUUGACUACUCAGUCAGGUUUUGAAUUCAUGUUCUCUCAAUCUUCUCUAGACCCAUCCUGUUAGGUCUCUGACCGAAUUUAAUGAUUCUUUUUUUUUUUUUUUUUUUUUUUACUAGCUGUGGAGUAUAUACUGUGCAUGCUUUCUCCUGAAAAGUAGACAUGCUUAAACUGCAACCUUGCCAACUGACUUCCUGCCGGUUGGGCUAAAAGAUGCCCUAGGAUCCUUAUCCCUUAGCAGCUAAGGCCGAGACCAUUAACAGGAAGUGGUAAAACCAAUGUCCUGAGUCCCAAAAGAUAAGGGACUUUACACAAAAAUGGAGGAGCUAUGGAAGCAACAAUAAGGAAUGAGAAGAAAGCUCCCUUUCUUCUUGCUCUCAACCCAAGAUUUUGGAUUUUCCCCUCAAUUUACACAUACCCUUUAAGUGUCUAUCUGUACAAAUGAAUGACCUUGC
rnacentral:lncRNA from 10 species